UACGUAGGGGGCAAGCGUUGUCCGGAAUCAUUGGGCGUAAAGCGCGUGUAGGCGGCCUUGUAAGUCCGUUCUGAAAGCCCGGGGCUCAACCCCGGGAGGCGGAUGGAUACUGCAGGGCUCGAGUCCGGAAGAGGUUGGUGGAACUGCGAGUGUAGAGGUGAAAUUCGUAGAUAUUCGCAAGAACACCAGUGGCGAAGGCGGCCAACUGGUCCGGUACUGACGCUGGAGGUGCGAAAGCGUGGGGAGCAAACAGG
rnacentral:rRNA from 1 species